GGUUAUGGUUUAGCAGUAGAGCUCUUACCUACCAAGUGCGAGGUCCUGGGUUCGAUUCUCAGCACCA
rnacentral:tRNA from 1 species